rnacentral:rRNA from 1 species
UACGUAGGGGGGCGAGCGUUGUCCGGAUUUAUUGGGCGUAAAGAGCUCGUAGGCGGUUCGGUAAGUCGGAUGUGAAAUCUCCACGCUCAACGUGGAGGGGCCAUUCGAUACUGCCGUGACUCGAGUCCGGUAGGGGAGUGUGGAAUUCCCGGUGUAGCGGUGAAAUGCGCAGAGAUCGGGAGGAACACCCGUAGCGAAGGCGGCACUCUGGGCCGGUACUGACGCUGAGGAGCGAAAGCGUGGGGAGCGAACAGG